rnacentral:lncRNA from 1 species
GCUGUUGGAGUUUGACUGACACCUAAACAUGGAUCUCAAUGAGCCCUUGUAGUGGAUGUUGGCAACAGUUAAUCCACUAUAGGAGUAGGGUGCACAUCAAGAUGGGAUCUAUCAACCUUAAUAGAGAGGAGUAGUUCUAUAGAAUUUGAAAGGCUAAGUCUAAAAAUUUAUGGCUAUAGUAGUGUAAUUGAUGGAAAAGAGUUUCUGUAAAAAUCAUAACUGGGCUUGAGCUAAUCAAAUCUAUCAUAUGACUGAUGUUGAGGUUUGAUGAUUUAUCCAUGACCUGCCAUCAAGUCAGAACUCAUGAUAAAGGAACUGAAUCACAUGUUAAUUAUACUUAAAGAUUCAUUUUAGUUCUAUUGGGUUGCCACUAUAUAUUGCUAGGUGUCACUGA